UGAAUUCUUGAGAAAAAAGUGAAAGAAAAAGGAGGAAAACCUUUUUUGUUGUUGUUUCUUUGAAUCGAAUUUUUGUGUUCUUUUUUUCUCCUUUUUGAUUUCUCCAAAA
rnacentral:ribozyme from 13 species